rnacentral:lncRNA from 1 species
UUUAUUUUUAGUGUUGCAAUCUCCAGCAGUCCUUAUUUUCACUCAAAAUUACAAUACAGGGGACUAUGGCCAAUGCUAUGCAGAUGGCCAAAUAGAUAAUAAAGACUCAGUUCAUGAAUAAUAUCCACUCAGAAAGAGGACAAAAGCAACAGGAAAAAAGAGCCCAAAUUGGACAAAAUGUGCGUGCUAUAUUUAAAAAAAAACACACGCGAUCAUUGUCAGAGAUCAUUAAGGGUGCCCUGUAGUUUUAAUUAUAUGCCAGUGGCACCAAUUUGAUGUGACUGUUUGCUCUUAUAGUCAAUAAAAAAAGUCAUAACUGCCAUAAAAAAUGUGUGAAAGAUUAAUUUGUAGAAUGAGGGUGCACAGCACAGGACAGAUGGAGCGGGUGGGACAUGACAGUUUUCGUCUGUGGCAUCAUUUUGUUGUUGCUAUUGCAAGUGAGCAAAAUAAAGCUACUGCUACCGCGAUCAUUUUUUGGG